rnacentral:tRNA from 1 species
GGAAAUUGCUCAGUGGUAAAGUGUGUGCUUUGCAUGCAUGGAGUCCUGGGUUCAAUCCCCAGUACUUCCA